CAUGCAAGUCGAGGGGCAGCGCAGUGUAGCAAUACAUGGGCGGCGACCGGCAAACGGGUGCGGAACACGUACGCAACCUUCCUUUAAGUGAGGGAUAGCUUUCGGAAACGAAAAUUAAUACCUCGUAACAUUAUGAAACGGCAUCGUUUUAUAAUUAUAGCUCCGGCGCUUAAAGAUGGGCGUGCGCCUGAUUAGGUAGUUGGCGGAGUAACAGCCCACCAAGCCUACGAUCAGUAACUGGUGUGAGAGCACGACCAGUCACACGGGCACUGAGACACGGGCCCGACUCCUACGGGAGGCAGCAGUAAGGAAUAUUGGUCAAUGGACGCAAGUCUGAACCAGCCAUGCCGCGUGGAGGAUGAAGGUCCUCUGGAUUGUAAACUUCUUUUAUCGGAG
rnacentral:rRNA from 1 species